rnacentral:lncRNA from 1 species
CGGCUAAUUUAUGCUAACGUGUAAUCAGAGACCGGAGCCACUGUAAUUCAGGUUAUGUACGAGAAACGCCUUGCAGGUCAGUGACAGCUGUGCAUGUUCCUGCUUUUGGCAAUGGACGAUGGAUUUGCGGCACGUAAAACUGCCAUGUGGAAGGAUGGGAAAGAAGCGGCUGCUGGAAAUUUCGUGUUUCAGUGAGCCUGCUCCUCAUAACGCCUCGACCACAAUGAAUUACAGUUGCAGUAGACUUGUGGUGACGCUUUAUUGUGUAGUAUGGAGUGGCCUAAGUGGCACAGUGGCAAGGAGCGCGAGUGAGUAUUUCAAGAAUCCG